rnacentral:rRNA from 1 species
AGGGAAUCUUCCGCAAUGGACGAAAGUCUGACGGAGCAACGCCGCGUGAGUGAUGAAGGUUUUCGGAUCGUAAAGCUCUGUUGCCAGGGAAGAACGUCCGUUAGAGUAACUGCUAACGGAGUGACGGUACCUGAGAAGAAAGCCCCGGCUAACUACGUGCCAGCAGCCGCGGUAAUACGUAGGGGGCGAGCGUUGUCCGGAAUUAUUGGGCGUAAAGCGCGCGCAGGCGGCUGUUUAAGUCGGGUGUAUAAUACUGGGGCUCAACUCCGGGUCGCACGGGAAACUGGACGGCUUGAGUGCAGAAGAGGAGAGUGGAAUUCCACGUGUAGCGGUGAAAUGCGUAGAGAUGUGGAGGAACACCAGUGGCGAAGGCGACUCUCUGGGCUGUAACUGACGCUGAGGCGCGAAAGCGUGGGGAGCAAAC